rnacentral:piRNA from 2 species
GAGUUGGAAUAGGAGCUUGCUCCGU